GGAUGGUCCAAAGAUGGCUUUGCUGAUGGAUGUCCUGGCUCAGCCCUGUAUGGGAAGAUUUGCACCAGGUCCCAACAAUGUUAGGGCCAGUCCUAAUAUAGCAGGCAUGCUGCAGAGGCAUGGCAUGGACAGACAGUAGGCUGAAUGAAUUUUAAAAUCAGACAGGCCUGGGCAUAAACCUACUUCUGCCACUUACUAGUUCUGUGAUUUUGGGCAAGUUCCUUAACUUCUCAGACUCCCAAUCUCCUCACAGUAAAAUAGAAGUAAUAAUAGUGAUUGUCUCAUGAUAUAAUUCAAGGGUUAACUGAGAAGGUAAAUGUGAAAUUCUGAGCCUCAUGUCCAGCACAGAGGAAGUUCCCAAUAAAUACCAGUGGUUGGUGUUAUUGCAUUCACUUGUUGGCUCCUGUGAGGUUUUUGUAUCAUGGAAUGACUAUCACAUCUUUCCUCUUGUUUGCCCGGGAGGGGGCAUUGUCUCUCUAUGGAACCUGCCAUCUUUUUGCUGAGGACUUCUGGGGAGAGAAUGUCUCUUAAAACUGCACCUUGGGGAGUCUCCAUUGGUUUGGCCAUUUCCUUCCCACUGUCAGGGAGCAAAGCUCUCUGAAUAAGCACUUACCCCUCCAGCAUGCUGACUGCUUGUAUUAUUUGUGGAUGUCAUUUUUUCUUAUUAGUUGACAUUAUACAAUGCUUAAAGGAGGCAUAUGCUGAGAAGUGUUGGCAAAUCAUUAACUAGUGGCUGUGUGCUCUUGCCCUCUUAUGCUGCAGAGAGUGGGGUUUUGCGGGUCCUGGCCCUGCCCUCUUAUGACCCAGUGGCCUUGGAUGUGUCUCCUUCCUUCUCAGAGACUCCGCCCUCUCAUUCAUACAGUGGGGGCAGCAGCAACACAGACCACACUCACCUGGGGUAAUGCGAGGGAAACAGUAUCCUGCACGACGCAGAGAGCCUGACAAGCUGUGCAGCGCUGUGCUGGCUGUGAGCCAUCAGUAGGCACCCAUCGUGCAGAGACCGAGGACGUGCCGCUGCUGUGUCCGGGGCACAGGCAGUAAGGCCAGCGAAGCAAGAACUAUUCCUACUCGAGACAUUUGAUACUGUACCAGGGAGGCGACUGACAUUCAACAAACAACCCCAGACACCUUUAGUGCACUCAGACUAUGUCCACAUUGGGCCUUUGGGGGCCAGAACGGCACUGCUUGAGAGGCAACCCAGGGAAGCAGGGUCACAGAGGAGGGGGGGGGGAGUGGGGUCUCACACAGUGCCGCAGCGGCAGGUUCUCCGGCUUCCCAAUGGGUUUUUAGUGUUUCCCUGGUGGGUGCCAUCUGGGACUUUUCAGGACUAGCGGGUGGAUGAUCAUGGCUUCUGGAUAUCACAGAACAGUAAAGUGGGAGCCUGGCCUGCUACAUUAUUGCCAGGCAGAGAUAUGGUCCCACACCUGCCUCCACCCUGCCAUCGUCUCCUGCCCCCCAACAUGGGAACACUUGUAACCACAGAAUCUGAAGACAUCGGAACUGUACAGGAACCCUAAAAUGGCCCCAGGAGAGUCAGGUCCAGCCCCCUCGAGGUUGUUGAGAAGAAAGCAGCAAUCGCCAUGGGAUCUGGAUUUCAUGUUGAGAAAACUCGGGUCAGUCUCGUCCCCUCUUUGGACUUCAGUUUCCCCCUAAGUAUGAUGAGGAGUUGGGACAGACAGUUGCUAAGAGCCUUUCAUCUGUGACAUGCUUAUGUUCAUAAAAAGCGCUAUUAAACAAAAGAAAAAAAAAGAAACACGAUAAAGCCUCAUCAGUCAUCAGUUUCCAAGUUUUCUGUGUAUUUUUUCAUCAGAAGACAAAAUGCGAUUCGACCAUAUGUUGGGCCAAUUGUUCCCCAAACAGAAUUUAAACAUUUGAACACGUUUGCAAGAAGGAAGCAAAGUG
rnacentral:lncRNA from 1 species